rnacentral:rRNA from 1 species
UACGUAGGGUCCGAGCGUUGUCCGGAAUUAUUGGGCGUAAAGAGCUCGUAGGCGGUUUGUCGCGUCUGCCGUGAAAGUCCGGGGCUCAACUCCGGAUCUGCGGUGGGUACGGGCAGACUAGAGUGAUGUAGGGGAGACUGGAAUUCCUGGUGUAGCGGUGAAAUGCGCAGAUAUCAGGAGGAACACCGAUGGCGAAGGCAGAUCUCUGGGCAUUAACUGACGCUGAGGAGCGAAAGCAUGGGGAGCGAACAGG